GCUUUCACUGGCAGGUUCUGCCCUGAUGUUGGAAUCAACUUCUUCAGGCUUCCAAAGCAGACGGAAGACUAGCAGUUCUCCCAGAAUCCUCCAAGCCUUUAGCGCCAAAUUGGAACUUCUAAAACAUCCAGCACUGGGAACUAUCAGUGUGAGACAGCCAUUGUUGGACUACAAGAACCACGUCAUGUAAGCCAAUCUAAUGAACUCCCCUUAAUAUAUAUAUUCGCUCUAACAGCUCUGUGUCUUUAGAGCACCGUGACUGAUACACUGCAGAACAGGUCAACUUCCAGUGGGCUUAGUCUUUGCUGCCCAAGUCUGUCUUCAUCUUGCUCUUCUCCCUUCUGAGACUCCCUUCCCACAUCAUGCAGGGCUUCCUGGCCUCAGAGAGGAUGUAGCAGGGUGAGGGGAAAGGGUGUGUGAUUCUGUAACUGGACCAGUGCAUGAACUCAAGGUCGAGGUCUAGCUAUGGGACGCAUGACACUGGAAAGCAGUGCCCCACCCAGGCAGCUUGAAGCUGCAUCCACCAACCAAACCGGGCAAGGGCCAGAGUUGUCAGCCUGUGGAUCGGAAGAGAUUCAUGCUACGGGAUGACAGAGUGUGUGAUCAAAACUGUUCUAACUCUAAGCUUCCUGGCAUCCGUCACCUGCCUGACUUCACAUACCUGCCCAUCACUUCGUCUUCGAGUGCACCCACAGAUAUUACCACUGAGACAGGUACCUAAUGGAGCAGCUUGUACCUCGUAUCUUCUCAUGGACUUGAUGGGAUCCUACAGGAAACUGAAUUCCAGUGUCAGUGUCGCUCCCUCUGCUCUUGGACUCUAAGCCAAGAGUCUAAGGCAGCUCCUGUCCUACAGAGGUGAUGAACACCAUGUAAGAAGAGGUCACGAAUACUCCAUCUACAUCAUCUUAGUUAUUAAACUCAAGCAGAACUGA